rnacentral:rRNA from 1 species
GACAGAGGAUGCAAACGUUGCUCGGAAUUACUGGGCGUAAAGCGCGUGUAGGCGGCUCCGCGAGUCGGGUGUGAAAGCCCGGGGCUCAACCCCGGAAGGGCACUCGAUACUACGGAGCUGGAGUACUGAAGAGGAGAGCGGAAUUCCCGGUGUAGAGGUGAAAUUCGUAGAUAUCGGGAGGAACACCAGUGGCGAAGGCGGCUCUCUGGGCAGAUACUGACGCUGAGACGCGAAAGCGUGGGGAGCAAACAGG